rfam:Aedes albopictus isolate Foshan contig106618, whole genome shotgun sequence.
UGUUCUGUGGCUUGGUUGGUUAAAGCACCAGACUAGCGAUGCGGAGCCGUGGAUUCGAAUCUCACCAGAACCA